UUGGAGGUUACCCUUCCUAUGUCACAAUCACCUAGCAACAGCACUCAUUUGUUGUCAAGGGAAAAUCUGGUUCUUGGCCAACCUAAAGCUUUCCUAAGAGGAUAGAGUGUUGUAGAAGGAUCGAGUUGGCUUCAGGGCAGAAGAGAGUGCUCAUUUCUCCUACUCUAUCUCUUGGCAGUUUUUCAGAAGCUAUCAGGUGGAGAAGGUUCACUCCCUGUUCUUCACGUACCCAAGCUGAGGAGUGUAGUGUUCUUGGCCUGUGCUCCUGGGACAACCCUCCCUGGGGUCGCUGAGGUAGGGAGAAGCUCUUGUUUUGUGCUUGAUCACAUUGUCCAUCUGGGGCAUGGAUUGUAUGUCUCCCAUGAAAAAACACGCGCACUCCUGGUAGGUCUGCAAGUACGUAUACUGUGUUACAAUUGCUUAUUCUUCCCUUUAUGGCUGAAGGCCUAGUCAUGACUCAAGGUCAUCACCAAGACUCUCAGUGAUUAUUCCACAGGAGCUGUAGCAGAGGUGACACUAACUUGAAGCCAAAAACACGCCCUGGCAGGUGUGAGUGUACUCUGGGAACAUUUUUACCGCCACUGUGUUAGUUUUCUGCUGCAGCUGUAACAAAUUACCAUAAAUUGAAUGGCUUCAAACAACACAAACGACCUUACAAUUCUAGUGGUGGAAUCAGUCUGAGUGGGUUUCACUGGGCUAACAUCGAGAGUCAGCAGGGCUGGAUUCCUUCUGAAGGCUCUAGGGGAAAAUCUGUUUCCUUACCUCUUCCAUCUCCUGGAGGCUACCUGUGUUUCUUGGCUUCUCCUCUACCUUGGAAGCCAGCAAUAGAUGAUCAAGUUAACUCAUGGUGUAUCACUGACACAGAGUCCUGCCUCCCUCUCCACUUAUAGGGACCCUUGUGAUUACGUUGGGUCCACCUGGAUAAUCCAGGCUCUUCUCCACAUCUCAAUAUCCUUAGUUUCAUCUGCACAUCCCAUGUCGCUAGGUAAGGAAUCUGGGAAAUGCACAACUUUGAGGGCCACCAUCAAUAGGAUGACAUUGUCAGGGAAGCUCUGGGUCGCUGAUCAUACAGAUAUUAGAGACGAAUAAUAUUGCCCUUAGGAGAUGGACCAAACAUAUGUUUUUAAAGAUUUUAUUUCUUCCUUCCUGAGAGUCACAGAGAGAGAGGCAGAGACCCAGGCAGAGGGAGAAGCAGACUCUCUGUGGGGAGCCCAAUGUGAGAUUCAA